CUUUCAAGGUUUUAGUCUCAUACAGAAUACUGUUUAUGUCCCCAACUAACACAUUAAUGGUACUUCAAUACAUUAUAAAAAUAUUACAGAACAACAAAAAUCACAUCCAUUCAAGCUGCUCCAGAUAAGUCUUCCUUCUCUUAAGAGUAGUUAAGAGGCACUGAAAUCUAUAGGCAAGUUAUCUUGUUAUCAUGUGUUUUAAUGUUAUGUAAUAACCUCACCUUACAUUCCAUAAAAGCAGGCUGAUAGCAGAGGCGCCAGAUGAGAAACAUCACCGCAGUUGCAUCUCAGACCACUACAGACCACUAACACAACUGCCAGCUUUCUUUGUAUCCGUGCCUCAGCUAGAAAAUUGCUAUUAACUUCAUUAAUAUCCAUGACAUAUUUCAGAGUUUCUUCAUGCACAGGAUUGUUUAUUUCAGCUAAUUCCAUCAAAACAUGGAUAAACUUUUACUUCAUUUAAAUGCUUCAGAGUUGUAAUGACAGGGAUGAGAAACCUUUCAAGAAGAUUGCAGGUGAUGAAGCAGAUACCCAUCUACACGUUUAGGUGCUUUCAAUAGAGAGAACUGUGACAUGAUCUUGUUAUAGCUUUUUUGUUCUCCCCUCCUUAUUUUUGAAUUCAAGAAGAAUGAUAGGAAGUUCAUGAAGGUUUGCAAAAAGAUUUCACCUGUCUUUUUCUACAUUCAGGCUUCCUAUCAUCAGUUUUUACCUUAUCACCCUCAGUUACAUUUCUUUAUACAGUACUGAGCUCUCUUUGCCAUGGGCUGAUGUGUUUCACAUAGUUCACAUGUACAUCCACUGACUGCUUCUCCUCAUCCGUUUUCUAUUCCCAGGAGUAACAAACAGAACCCAGAGCCUCAAGUCGCACCUUUUUAAGGUGGAAAAAAUACAGGAAGCCGUUCAUACGGCUAAAACACAGGGAAGAGGAGCGGCAGGUAAGCGUUAGGCUGUCAACACUGGGCAAAAGUUACAGGGAGGAAAGCGCCCGCCAGCCCCAGCACCUCAGCCAGCCCCCCCGGCUCACGGCGCUCAGCGGGCCGCCCGCAAAGCGCUCCCCGCAGCCCCGGGCCGGCGGGGAGGCGGCAGCUCGGUCUUCGCUUCCCAACGGGAGCCGGGAGUUGCCAGUCAUUUCGAGGGCUGGAAGGAGGGGCUGGCGGCAACAAAUCGCUUUCUGCUUCCACCAGCGCAGGCAGUUUUUAUACCGCGAGAGAGCCCGGGACUCGGGGGAGGUGGGCUCGCCGCAGGGCGGGAGCGGCUCGGCGGAGGGGCAACCCCGCGGCACCCGCCGCUCGCCCGGGGAGGCCUCGCCCGGACAGGGCCCCGCGGCGGGGCGGGACCAGACCCCGGCCCGGCCUCGCCCCGGGGAUGCCCGAGCUCUGCGCGCCGCCGGGCCGCCGCCCGGCCCGGGAGGGCAGCGGCCUCGCAGCCACGCGGAGGAUGAGGGACCCCCCCGCCCCUCCCCCCGCCGCGGCAAACCCGCUUCCCGGGGCGGCGGAGCGGGGAGGGCCGCGCCGGGCCGGAGCCCCCCCGAGGCGGGAAGGCGCACGCGGAACUGAGGACACGCGCCCGCAGAUUUGCCAACGAGCAACUACAGAAAAUGAAUGAAUUUAAAUACAAAUACCAAUGUGCUCUGUUAAUGAACCUGCGUUGCCCCGAGGAAAUCACAACAUCCCAGUUGUAUGGAGUUCAGAUGGCCAGGCUGGUGGAAAUGUUUUUGGUGGAGGUAUACAGGUGCAAGCUGUGCCAGUUCACAAGCAGCAUCAAAAGCAAGAUUAGGACACACCUGGCUAAUACGUAUGAAACGGAUACGGCACAUCAGAUUUCAGGCUGUCCUGAAAUGGGCUGAGACAAAAAUUAUUUGUGUAGCAUAGGAGAUGAAGCUAAUCAAGAAAAUAAAGAAAACUAAGACAAUCUUGCAAAAAAUGUCUGUCACAUUUUGAAGCAUCUGAAACACAGGUAAUGAGUCCUGACUGUUGUGACGUGAGCCCAAGCAGUCAGAGCAAUAAUCCUUAUGUCUGUCAGUCCUGUGAAGUGAACAACUUGUUUGGAGAAGCAGAAACUCAUUUGCAGCUUGAGGAUCCCUGUUCUGCAGUGCUCACUUCUCUUUCAUAUUCCAGGAGCAGAGAUGAAGAACACCCAUCUGUGCGUCUUUGCCUCUGUCGUGUUUCCAGUGUUAGAACUUGGACCUUAGCUAGGAAGAUAAAAACCCUAAGAAAGCUAGAUGGGACAGUAAAGGGCUACCUCAUCCUGUGAAAGAUGCUUGUGCCUUAAAGCUGGGUUCAGAGAGAAAGCAGCAUUCCUGCAACGCAUGUAAUGUAGCACUGCAGUCAAAAGAUGCUCAUAAAAUCCAUGAAAAGGGUCAUGAUGUGGAUUGUGGCUUUAAAUGUGUUUAUUGUUGCGUGACUGAGUGGGACUUAAUCGGAAAUUAUUUAAAACCACAGAAGUGGAUAAAAGAAACCUACCAGUACCUCAUCUGUGAAAGUCUUUUUAUGUCACAAAGUGCCUGGGAAGUGCACAGAAACAGCCAUCGGAGGAAACAUCAUCUCUUUUUGUGGGCAAUAUAUUCAUCAUCCCUUGAAAAUGAGUGGAUAAGAAAUCUUCAUGUAGCUUGUCAUUCUCAGGAUAUAUUUGAAUGUCCACACAGUGAUUUUACCACUAAGGAAUGGAUGAAGGUCUACAAAGGUGCACAAACCACGGUUACAGUUUCAGACUGCAUCCUUGUACUGAAUGUGAGAUGAGAGAGGUUUUUUCCAAAGGUGAGAAGCCGUUCAAAUGUGAGAUCUGCUCUUACACCUCCAUUGAUGUAAGCUCUCUGCAGCGACAUUUCUGAACAUGCACUAGUGAGAGGACCUACAAAUGUUGACUCUGUUCAUACAGUCGCAUUCAGAAGAAGAGCUUGGACCUUCAGAUGCACUGACAUCACACUUGUGAAGCAUUUGGCUGUAGUUUUUGCUGCUAUUCUUCCCAUGACAAACAACUUCAGAAACACAUUAAGAAAUGUCACUUGGGUUCAGGAGCUGGUUCCCAGCCCACCUUUACCCUCAAAUCACUUCCUGUGGAACAUUAGGUCCUUCACUCUUAAACUUCACCAGAGCAUCCCAGCAAAUAAAGAAGCUGUUGGCAUUGUCAGACUUUUGUGCUGAAAGCCAGGGGUUAUCUGGAAGAAGAGAAGAAGUGAUCCUUGUGUGCCGAUUAAAAGCACUUAGGAAUGGUCUUCCAAAGAACUGUGUGCGCAUUAUGGUGCAGGUGGUGACUCCAGUGUGCUGAGAGGAGUGUGGAGGUUUGGGUUGCGCAAAGGGUAGACAUGUAGAUUUGUUAGGGUUACCUCUUGCUCAUACGUUCCGCUUGCUUACAAAUGAAGGGUUUGACAUUUCAAGGCAGAAUCUGUUGAAAUGUAUGUACCAAAGCUGACAGUGACAAAGCUAACAGGUGGUUUCUGUACUAAGUCUCUCAUUUUUAACACAGGUCUUUAUAUAAAACAGUAAAUUACUGAAGAAAAUCAACUGAUGCAAUAGCACUCACAAUGGGGUAAAAAAAAAGUCAAAUAAACUUCUUCAUGGUUAUUUUUUAUAACAAAACGUGUUAUCAUAAGCUAAUCCAAUGUUGAAGUAAAAAUACAAACUAUUGAAAUAUGACAUCAAAUAAACUUGACUUGAAAAUCCA